rnacentral:rRNA from 1 species
UACGUAGGGUGCGAGCGUUUGUCCGGAAUUAUUGGGCGUAAAGGGCUCGUAGGCGGUCUGUUGCGUCGGGAGUGAAAACUCAGGCUUAACCCUGAGCCUGCUUCCGAUACGGGCAGACUAGAGGUAUGCAGGGGAGAACGGAAUUCCUGGUGUAGCGGUGAAAUGCGCAGAUAUCAGGAGGAACACCGGUGGCGAAGGCGGUUCUCUGGGCAUUACCUGACGCUGAGGAGCGAAAGUGUGGGAGGCGAACAGG